UACGGAGGAGGCAAGCGUUAUCCGGAAUUAUUGGGCGUAAAGCGUCCGCAGGUGGCUAUUCAAGUCUGCGGUCAAAGACUGGGGCUUAACCCUGGAAAGGCCGUGGAAACUGAAGAGCUAGAGUGCAGUAGGGGUAGAGGGAAUUCCCGGUGUAGCGGUGAAAUGCGUAGAGCUCGGGAAGAACAUCGGUGGCGAAAGCGCUCUGCUGGGCCGACACUGACACUGAGAGACGAAAGCUAGGGGAGCGAACGGG
rnacentral:rRNA from 1 species